GAGUUUGAUCCUGGCUCAGGCAUCCAACGCUAGCGGCAGGCUUAAUACAUGCAAGUUGAACGGGAUAAGUUGUAGCAAUAUGACUUUGAGAGUGGCGCACGGGUGCGUAACACGUAUGCAACCUACCCUUAACUGGAGAAUAGCUCCUCGAAAGAGGGAUUAAUACUCCAUAAUAUAUUGUUUAGACAUCUUUACGAUAUUAAAGCUCAGGCGGUUAAGGAUGGGCAUGCGGCUGAUUAGCUAGUUGGUGAGGUAACGGCUCACCAAGGCAACGAUCAGUAGGGGGUCUGAGAGGAUUUUCCCCCACACUGGUACUGAGACACGGACCAGACUCCUACGGGAGGCAGCAGUAGGGAAUAUUGGUCAAUGGGCGAAAGCCUGAACCAGCCAUGCCGCGUGCAGGAUGACUGCCCUAUGGGUUGUAAACUGCUUUUGUACGGGAAGAAACCUUAUUACGUGUAAUAAGCUGACGGUACCGUGCGAAUAAGGAUCGGCUAACUUCGUGCCAGCAGCCGCGGUAAGACGAAGGAUCCAAAGCGUUGUCCGGAUUUACUGGGUUUAAAGGGUGCGUAGGCGGAGAAUUAAGUCAGUGGUGAAAGCCUGCAGCUU
rnacentral:rRNA from 1 species